UCCUUUCAUCGUGUAGAGAGAGA
rnacentral:piRNA from 1 species